rnacentral:tRNA from 1 species
UAUUAGAAAGCGAACCGUAUCGCAUUUAGUUUCGACCUAAACUUUGGCUAAGGCCUCUAAUAA